CGUGUAGGCGGCUUGGUAAGUCAGAUGUGAAAGCCCUGGGCUCAACCCAGGAAGUGCAUUUGAAACUACUAGACUUGAGUACGGGAGAGGAGGGGGGAAUUCCCGGUGUAGAGGUGAAAUUCGUAGAUAUCGGGAGGAAUACCGGUGGCGAAGGCGCCCCUCUGGACCGAUACCGACGCUGAGACGCGAAAGCGUGGGGAGCAAACA
rnacentral:rRNA from 1 species